rnacentral:lncRNA from 1 species
CUGUCUCAAAAAAAAAAAAAAAAAAAGAAAAAAAAAGUAUACACUGAUAAGAAUUCUUCAAAUUGAAGAUUAUGUUCUUAUGUCUACCCAGUCUUUCCUUUUUCCUUUCCUUCGGACUCCAACUAGAACAGCAAGGAGCAGAGACAAAGACAAACUAGUCCUUAAAAUGCUGUUAUGGAGACAAAAUGACACCAAACAAGUCCACUCUGUGAAUUGGUUAUGCUGUAAAUUAAUCUUUGUCUAAAUGGCCUUUGACAAACCGACUGACUCCUAGCUGACCUCCUUAGACAUACCCAGUAUCCCAAGUGAAGCUGUUUCAUCGUUUUUUGUUUGUUUGUUUUAAAGACAGGAGGUCUUUCUGUGUUGCCCAGGAUGGACUCCAAUUUCCUGGCUCAAGCGAUCCUCCUGCCUCCGCCUCCCAAGUAGCUGGGACUACAGGUGCUUGCCUGGCUUGCUUCACCAUUUUCAGUAAGAACGAUCAUGAUGCUGCUCACUGAAGUCAGCAGACUUCCUUUGUGGGGUUAAUGACUGCAGUGUGUUUUGAGGAAAAACAAAACAAAACAAAAAAAAACUACUCCAAUAUUUUGAGGAAAUACUUCUUUAAAUACUGGCCUCUGCCCUGACACUCCUUGCCUCCUAAUAUUGGCACCACCUCUGUUUCCUUACAAUAGAGUCUCAGAACAUGGGAUCAAUCUUAGACCCAAAGGAGGAUGCUUCUCAGAAACACUCUCUGUCCUGCCGUACGUCUGUCUAAACUCCUCUAGCAAUUCCGAUGUGAAAAGAAGAUGGAUGGAGAAGCACUGAUUCAGCCAUGGCUGACAUGUCGGAGUUGGAAUGGACAGUGCCCGGACCUCACAGUCUCAGAGAACUGGAGAAGAGUAAAGCUGAAGAGGGCAUCAUCUGGUUACAAAUGACAAGUCCAGGGCUCCAGCUUUGACCGCACCAUGUAACUUCAAAAUCGGUACCCAUUUCUGAACGCCCAUUCAAAAGCAAUUGGGUUAGCAAGAAGAAACAGGUCAACAAUAGAAUCCCCAAGGAAAAGAAAGUAUCUGAAGAAAAGAGAGCUCCAAGUGGGAGUGAGGAGUUAAAAACAAAACAAAACAAACAAAAAAGAAUAAAGUUGGUAUGGGGAUGGGAAUUUGCAAUGAAGGAGGGAAAAUAGGAAAGAAAAAAAAACCCAAGCUAACAUGUUCCUCAUUUCUACAACAUUAUCUCAUAGAAAUAGCAUUACUCACCUGACCGCGAGUUCAGAAAACAAAGUGGAGAACCUCUGUGCACACCUGAAAAUGAAAAAUAAAAAAUAAAAAGCAAAAUUAGACCAAUGGAAAGUGGACUUUCUUGACAGCAUAAUACUUCAAU